AUUGAACGCUGGCGGCAUGCCUUACACAUGCAAGUCGAACGGCAGCACGGGAGCAAUCCUGGUGGCGAGUGGCGAACGGGUGAGUAAUAUAUCGGAACGUGCCCAGUCGUGGGGGAUAACGUAGCGAAAGCUACGCUAAUACCGCAUACGAUCUAUGGAUGAAAGCGGGGGAUCGCAAGACCUCGCGCGAUUGGAGCGGCCGAUAUCAGAUUAGGUAGUUGGUGAGGUAAAGGCUCACCAAGCCGACGAUCUGUAGCUGGUCUGAGAGGACGACCAGCCACACUGGGACUGAGACACGGCCCAGACUCCUACGGGAGGCAGCAGUGGGGAAUUUUGGACAAUGGGCGCAAGCCUGAACCAGCAAUGCCGCGUGCAGGAUGAAGGCCUUCGGGUUGUAAACUGCUUUUGUACGGAACGAAACGGUGAGCUCUAAUACAGUUUGCUAAUGACGGUACCGUAAGAAUAAGCUCCGGCUAACUCCGUGCCAGCCGCCGCGGUAA
rnacentral:rRNA from 1 species